CAGUAGCCGCGGGAAUACGAAGGGUGCAAGCGUUAAUCGGAAUUACUGGGCGUAAAGCGUGCGCAGGCGGUUCGUUAAGACAGAUGUGAAAUCCCCGGGCUUAACCUGGGAACUGCAUUUGUGACUGGCGAGCUAGAGUAUGGCAGAGGGGGGUAGAAUUCCACGUGUAGCAGUGAAAUGCGUAGAGAUGUGGAGGAAUACCGAUGGCGAAGGCAGCCCCCUGGGCCAAUACUGACGCUCAUGCACGAAAGCGUGGGGAGCAAACAGGAUUAGAGACCCCCGUAGUCCCUGUCUCUUAUAC
rnacentral:rRNA from 1 species